rnacentral:lncRNA from 1 species
GGCCAGCGUCGCGUUGCGUUGCGUCGUCUUCCAUAUAACGGCAUUUGGGGGGGAGGGAAUCAAGAAAAUCGAGAAGGAAAACAACAAAACAAAACAACAAACUCGAAUUGCACUUGUAGCCAUUGGAUCUUGUUUCUAUCCGAAUCAAAACUUACUCUAAAGAUGACUUUUUACCUAAUGGCAGCAGCUGGGGCUGUAGGCAGGGCUCCCGUGGGGUUUUUACGCCUCAUUUGCAUAAAGCAAAGCGAGCGUAAUGUUCGUUCAGUUUGUCAUUCACUCAGUUUGUCAUUCAUUCAAGCAUGAACCAUAGCGACAAAAACACGCAGAAUUGCACCAUUUUUACUUCACUCU